GAUGAACGCUGGCGGUAUGCUUAACACAUGCAAGUCGAACGGACUCUUCGGAGUUAGUGGCGGACGGGUGAGUAACGCGUGAGAAUCUGGCCUUGGGUUCGGGACAACCACUGGAAACAGUGGCUAAUACCGGAUGUGCCGAGAGGUAAAAGAGAAAUUGCCUGAAGAUGAGCUCGCGUCUGAUUAGCUAGUUGGUGAGGUAAAGGCUCACCAAGGCAGCGAUCAGUAGCUGGUCUGAGAGGAUGACCAGCCACACUGGGACUGAGACACGGCCCAGACUCCUACGGGAGGCAGCAGUGGGGAAUUUUCCGCAAUGGGCGAAAGCCUGACGGAGCAAUACCGCGUGAGGGAAGAAGGCUCUUGGGUUGUAAACCUCUUUUCUUAGGGAAGAACAAAAUGACGGUACCUAAGGAAUCAGCAUCGGCUAACUCCGUG
rnacentral:rRNA from 1 species